CCUGCCUCAGCCUCCCGAGUAGCUGGAACUACAGGCGCCCGCCAUGAUGCCCGGCUCAUUUUCUGUGUUUUCAGUAGAGACGGGGUUUCACUGUGUUAGCCAGGAAAGUCUUGAUCUCCUGACCUCGUGAUCCUGACCUCGGCCUCCCAAAGUGCUGGGAUUACAGGCGCGAGCCACCGCGCCCGACAGCAGUUAUGAAGUUCUAAAAGCAAGUCUUAAUCAGGAAGUGUCCUUGAUCACCAACGGCUCGCCCAGGCAUGCUGGCUCUCUUCCACUUCCACCUUCCACCAUGGGAUGACGCAGUAAGAAGGCCAUCAGUAGAUGCCAGUCCCUCAACCUUGAACUUUCCAGACGCAGAACUAGUGCACUCCUUGGAAGGAAGUCACUAUAGAUAUCCCACGCAUGUGGAGAGGGGAGCUAUGAUCCACCUCAUGAAGGGCAAGUUUAAACAUUUCAUUCCAUCAUCGUGUUCCUGGUUUCUAUGAGAACUCCACUGUCAUUCUUAUUCUUGUUCCUCUAAAUGUGAGGUAUUUUUUUCUCCUUGGGCUUCUUUCAAAAUUUUUCUCAUUGACUCUGGUUCGCUUAUGACAUGCCUAGGUGUAGUCCAUUUUGAGUAUUAUGUAAUGAGACACCAGAUCUUAUUUCAACCUUCUGUUUUGGCUGGAUUUCCUCUGAAACUGCUCUGGCAGCAAAGGAGGAAGGGUUACUCCCAGCUAGGGUUAUAAUUCCAGGUCCCUCACCUGGCCGCUGGGGAAGAGGCUCCGCAUUACUGCGUGACAGAGAUGCAAGUUCUGAAUCACCUCUAGGCCUCCACUGAGACGCUCCAUCUGGGAUGACUGGAAUUUUGGUUUCUUCUCACCACCUCCACUGAGACGCUCCAUCUGGGAUGACUGGAAUUUUGGUUUCUUCUCACCACCUCCACUGAGACGCUGCAUCUGGGAUGACUAGGAAUUUUGGUUUCUGCUCACCACCUCCACUGAGACGCUCCAUCUGGGAUGACUAGGAAUUUUGGUUUCUGCUCACCACCUCCACUGAGACGCUGCAUCUGGGAUGACUAGGAAUUUUGGUUUCUGCUCACCACCUCCACUGAGAC
rnacentral:lncRNA from 1 species